GAUGAACGCUGGCGGCGUGCCUAAUACAUGCAAGUCGAGCGAACAGACGAGGAGCUUUCUCCUCUGACGUUAGCGGCGGACGGGUGAGUAACACGUGGAUAACCUACCUAUAAGACUGGGAUAACUUCGGGAAACCGGAGCUAAUACCGGAUAAUAUAUUGAACCGUAUGGUUCAAGAGUUAAAGACGGUUUUGCUUUCACUUAUAGAUGGAUCCGCGCCGCAUUAGCUAGUUGGUAAGGUAACGGCUUACCAAGGCGACGAUGCGUAGCCGACCUGAGAGGGUGAUCGGCCACACUGGAACUGAGACACGGUCCAGACUCCUACGGGAGGCAGCAGUAGGGAAUCUUCCGCGAUGGGCGAAAGCCUGACGGAGCAACGCCGCGUGAGUGAUGAAGGUCUUCGGAUCGUAAAACUCUGUUAUUAGGGAAGAACAAAUGUGUAAGUAACUAUGAACGUAUUGACGGUACCUAAUCAGAAAGCCACGGCUAACUACGUG
rnacentral:rRNA from 1 species